AGUGAACGCUGGCGGUAGGCCUAACACAUGCAAGUCGAACGGCAGCACAGUAAGAGCUUGCUCUUACGGGUGGCGAGUGGCGGACGGGUGAGGAAUACAUCGGAAUCUACUUUUUCGUGGGGGAUAACGUAGGGAAACUUACGCUAAUACCGCAUACGACCUACGGGUGAAAGCAGGGGAUCUUCGGACCUUGCGCGAUUGAAUGAGCCGAUGUCGGAUUAGCUAGUUGGCGGGGUAAAGGCCCACCAGGGCGACGAUCCGUAGCUGGUCUGAGAGGAUGAUCAGCCACACUGGAGCUGAGACACGGUCCAGACUCCGACGGGAGGCAGCAGUGGAGAAUAUUGGACAAUGGGCGCAAGCCUGAUCCAGCCAUACCGCGUGGGUGAAGAAGGCCUUCGGGUUGUAAAGCCCUUUUGUUGGGAAAGAAAAGCAGCAGGUUAAUACCCCGCUGUUCUGACGGUACCCAAAGAAUAAGCACCGGCUAACUUCGU
rnacentral:rRNA from 1 species